rnacentral:rRNA from 1 species
AUGGCUUCUGUCACAAACGGUGAGGUAGCUGAUUUUGAGACUCAGGUGACUCCCUUUGCUAAAGCUGGGUUUUUCAGCAAGAUUUCAUUUUGGUGGUUGAAUCCUCUAAUGAAGAUGGGCUACGAGAAACCCCUUGAGGACAAAGACAUGCCACUUUUAGGUGCCACAGAUCGAGCAUGCAACCAGUACUUGAUGUUCAUGGAGAAGCUGAAUGGCAAGAAGCAGUCGCUGCCACACGCCACACCAUCAUUCUUCUGGACUAUUGUUUCUUGUCACAGGCAUGCAAUCUUGGUCUCAGGUUUCUUUGCUUUGCUCAAGGUUCUCACCUUAUCUGCUGGCCCAGUAGUCCUCAAGGCGUUCAUCAAUGUAUCACUUGGGAAAGGGACCUUUAAACACGAAGGCUAUGUGCUAGCUGCGUUAAUGUUCAUCUGCAAAUUCUGUGAAUCCCUGUCACAGAGACAGUGGAAUUUCCGCACUCGGAGAUUAGGACUGCAGGUGAGGUCACUCCUGUCAGCAGCUAUUUAUAAGAAACAACAGAAGCUAUCAAAUGCAGCAAAAAAGAAGCACUCUUCUGGAGAAAUUUUGAACUAUGUGACUGUCGAUGCCUAUCGGAUUGGGGAAUUCCCAUUCUGGUUCCAUCAGACAUGGACAACAAGUGUUCAGCUUUGCAUUGCUCUGGCAAUUCUAUACAAUGCGGUUGGUGCUGCAAUGGUUUCAUCUUUGGUCGUUAUUAUUAUUGCUGUACUGUGCAAUAUUCCAUUGGCCAGACGGCAACACAAAUUUCAGAGUAAACUUAUGGAAGCACAGGAUGUGAGAUUGAAGGCCAUGUCUGAGUCAUUUGUUCAUAUGAAGAUCUUGAAACUUUAUGCAUGGGAAGCUCACUUCAAUAAGGUCAUCGAGGGGUUGAGAGAGGUUGAGUACAAGUGGUUGUCAGCAUUCCAGUUUAGGAGGGCAUACCAUAGUUUCCUCUGUUGGGCAUCGCCUAAUUUUGUUUCUGCAGCGACCUUUAUAACAUGCUAUCUUUUGAAAACCCCUCUUGAUGCUAGCAAUGUCUUCACUUUUGUGGCAACCCUGCGUCUCGUGCAAGAGCCAGUUAGGUCAAUACCAGAUGUUAUCCGCGUUGUGAUACAAGCUAAGGUUGCUUUCACUCGAAUAUCGAAGUUCCUUGAUGCAUCUGAGCUUAACGGGCAAGUUAAGAAAAAAUACAACGUUGGCAUUGAUUACCCUAUACCCAUAGCGAUGAAUUCGUGUAGCUUCUCAUGGGAUGAGAAUACAUCAAAACCAGCUCUAAAUAAUAUAAAUCUGAUAGUGAAAGCUGGAGAAAAGAUUGCAAUUUGUGGAGAGGUAGGAUCAGGAAAGUCGACGCUUUUGGCUGCUGUACUUGGAGAGAUCCCAAAAACCAAAGGCACGAUCCAAGUCUGCGGGAAAAUAGCAUAUAUUUCUCAGAAUGCAUGGAUCCAAACAGGAACCGUGCAAGACAAUAUUCUCUUUGGAUCACCGAUGGACGUGGAAAGAUACCAGAACACACUCGUGAGGUGCUCGUUGGUCAAGGACCUUGAGAUGUUCCCAUAUGGAGAUUGUACUCAAAUUGGGGAGAGAGGAGUAAAUCUUAGUGGUGGUCAGAAGCAGCGGGUCCAGCUUGCUCGUGCACUAUACCAAAAUGCAGACAUCUAUCUUCUUGAUGACCCUUUCAGUGCCGUUGAUGUCCAUACAGCCACAAGUCUCUUCAAUUUAAUGUCAGAUGGAGAAGUUAUCCUGUCUGCACCUUAUCAAGAUCUAUUGGCAGAUUGUGAAGAAUAUAAAGACCUUGUAAAUGCCCAUAAAGAUACGAUGGGUAUUUCGGAUCUUAAUAACAACUCAGACUCUCAAAGAGCUAAGGAAGUAUCGAUCAAGGAGACAGUUGGUAUUCAUGGAAGCAGAUAUACAGAGUCUGUGAAGCCAUCGCAGGAAAAUCAACUGAUCAGGAAAGAGGAAAGAGAAACAGGGGAUGCAGGUGUUAAGCCUUAUAUGCUUUACCUGCGCCAGAACAAAGGUUUCCUGUAUUUCUCUUUUUGUGCUAUUUCUCACAUAAUUUUCAUAGCUGGGCAAAUAUCACAGAAUUCAUGGAUGGCUGCUAAUGUUCAAAAUCCUGAUGUUAGUACACUGAAGUUAAUUUAUGUGUACAUUAUUAUUGGAGUUUGCACAAUGCUCUUCUUACUAUCAAGAUCUUUAGGAAUCGUUGUUCUUGGGAUCCAGACAUCACGAUCCUUAUUUUCCCAGUUGCUCAAUUCAUUUUUCCGUGCACCAAUGUCCUUUUUUGAUUCUACUCCUCUAGGAAGGGUUCUUAGCCGGGUCUCUUCAGAUUUGAGUAUUGUUGACCUUGAUAUUCCAUUUGCCUUUGUGUUUAGCCUUUCUACUAGCUUAAAUGCAUAUAGCAAUCUAGGGGUAUUGGUUGUUAUUACAUGGCAAGCUCUGUUUGUAUCCGUGCCAAUGAUAGUUUUGCGAAUUUGGUUACAGAGGUACUAUCUAGCCUCGGCAAGGGAAUUGAUGCGGAUCAAUGGUACUACCAAGUCUGCUCUAUCAAAUCACUUAGGUGAAUCGAUUUCAGGGGCUACAACAAUAAGGGCCUUUGAGAAUGAAGAUCGUUUCUUUGCUAAAAAUUUGGAUCUUAUUGACAAGAAUGCCAGUCCAUAUUUCUACAAUUUUGCAGCAACUGAAUGGCUGAUUCAACGUCUGGAGAUAAUGAGCGCCACAGUUCUUUCUUUUUCUGCCUUUGUCAUGGCCAUUUCUCCUCAAGGAACUUUUAGCCCUGGUUUUGUGGGAAUGGCAUUGUCCUAUGGUCUUUCCCUAAAUAUUUCAUUUGUUUUCUCUAUUCAAUGCCAAUGCAACCUUGCAAAUCAAUUAAUCUCGGUGGAACGUGUGAACCAGUACAUGGACUUACAAAGUGAAGCAGCAGAAGCUGUUGAAGAAAAUCGACCAUUACCAGAUUGGCCCCAAGAUGGCAAUGUGGAGAUUAGAAAUUUGAAAAUCAGGUAUAGGGAAGAUACUCCCCUUGUACUACGUGGAAUCAGUUGCAAGUUUGAAGGUGGAGAUAAGAUUGGUAUAGUUGGUCGAACGGGAAGUGGCAAGACAACGUUAAUUGGUGCAUUGUUCCGACUUGUUGAACCUGCCGAAGGGAAAAUAAUUAUAGACUCUGUGGACAUCAGUACAAUAGGCUUACAUGACCUGCGUUCGUGUUUGGGUAUCAUUCCACAAGAUCCAACACUUUUUCAGGGUACAGUAAGGUACAAUCUAGAUCCUCUUGGGCAAUUCUCAGAUCAGCAAAUAUGGGAGGUUCUUGACAAAUGUCAACUUCUUGAAGUUGUCCAGGAGAAGGAACAGGGAUUGGAUUCACAUGUUCUGGAAGAUGGGUCGAACUGGAGUAUGGGCCAAAGGCAGCUCUUCUGUCUGGGACGCGCACUCUUGAGAAGAUGCCGCAUCUUAGUUCUUGAUGAAGCAACAGCUUCUAUAGACAAUUCAACAGAUGCUAUUCUUCAGAAAACGAUCCGGACAGAAUUCACAUAUUGCACUGUCGUUACAGUGGCCCACCGUAUACCAACAGUUAUGGACUGCGAUAUGGUACUUACAAUGAGCGACGGGAAAGUAGUGGAGUUUGACAAACCUACAAAGCUCAUGGAAACUGAAGGAUCUCUCUUUCGUGAGCUGGUCAAGGAGUAUUGGUCAUACACAGCUAACACAAACUUUUAG